rnacentral:rRNA from 1 species
UACCAGCAGCCCCGAGUGGUCGGGACGAUUAUUGGGCCUAAAGCAUCCGUAGCCGGUUCUACAAGUCUUCCGUUAAAUCCACCUGCUUAACAGAUGGGCUGCGGAAGAUACUAUAGAGCUAGGAGGCGGGAGAGGCAAGCGGUACUCGAUGGGUAGGGGUAAAAUCCGUUGAUCCAUUGAAGACCACCAGUGGCGAAGGCGGCUUGCCAGAACGCGCUCGACGGUGAGGGAUGAAAGCUAGGGUAGCAAACGGG